rnacentral:snRNA from 1 species
AGAUUUGAGGGUGAUACGGCUGUAACAUAGGUCACCCCAUUGAUCGCCAGUAUUGAUUUGGCUGAUCUGGCCGGGUAGAUAGGCGUCCCCUUCCUUCCUCGCUGCUCCAUUUUUGUCCGUCCUAAAGCUGCAUGCUCAGUUGGAGAGGAUGAGAGGACGACCCUCUCUGAUAGAGGAGGACGAUUCUUCUGUCAAAGGCAUACAGAUAUCUGGACUUCCCUGCUAGAACUUCCAAACAAGCUCAGAGAAGUCCCCCGCUCGCGUCUGCACGGGUUCAGCACCACGGACAGCGCCCUCGUCUCGCUGUUCACAACCGUG